rnacentral:tRNA from 1 species
AAGAGAGUUGGCAGAGUGUUUAUGCGCUUAGCUUGAAACUAAGAUUACGUGGGUUUAAUUCCCAUACUCUCUUA